rnacentral:rRNA from 1 species
UACGUAGGGUGCGAGCGUUGUCCGGAAUUACUGGGCGUAAAGAGCUCGUAGGUGGUUUGUCGCGUUGUUCGUGAAAACUCACAACUCAAUUGUGGGCGUGCGGGCGAUACGGGCAGACUAGAGUUCGGCAGGGGAGACUGGAAUUCCUGGUGUAGCGGUGAAAUGCGCAGAUAUCAGGAGGAACACCGGUGGCGAAGGCGGGUCUCUGGGCCGAUACUGACGCUGAGGAGCGAAAGCGUGGGGAGCAAACAGG